GUUUAACACCGGGGUUGAAAUUUCAACCCUGUUAGCUGAAGCAGGGCUGAAAUUUCCCUGCUAGCUGAAGCAGGGUUGAAAUUUCAACCCCGGGGUUGAAC